AAAAAUAAGGAUUAUUUAAUAAUUAUUUUAUAUUAAAUGAUAUUAUAUUAAAAGUUUAUGGUUAGGGACCUAAAAGUAAAUAUUAGAAGUUUGAUAUAAUUUAUGAAAGAUUCAGAUUUAAGUUAAAAAAAAAAAAUAGUGGACAUGUGUCACUAACUAACCUAAGGUUUGUGCCACUUAUCUUUGCUCUAAAGAUGACACCUAGCCCCUUUCAUGCAUGCAUGACACCUUACAACUUUUGCAUUAACCAAAACCUAAAU
rnacentral:lncRNA from 1 species